CCUACGGGUCGCACCAGUGGGGAAUAUUGCACAAUGGGCGCAAGCCUGGUGCAGCCAUGCCGCGUGUAUAAAGAAGGCCUUCGGGUUGUAAAGUACUUUCAGCGGGGAGGAAGGCGAUAAGGUUAAUAACCUUGUCAAUUGACGUUACCCGCAGAAGAAGCACCGGCUAACUCCGUGCCAGCAGCCGCGGUAAUACGGAGGGUGCAAGCGUUAAUCGGAAUUACUGGGCGUAAAGCGCACGCAGGCGGUCUGUCAGGUCGGAUGCGAAAUCCCCGGGCUCAACCUGGGAACUGCAUUCAAAACUGGCAGGCUAGAGUCUUGUAGAGGGGGGUAGAAUUCCAGGUGUAGCGGUGAAAUGCGUAGAGAUCUGGAGGAAUACCGGUGGCGAAGGCGGCCCCCUGGACAAAGACUGACGCUCAGGUGCGAAAGCGUGGGGAGCAAACAGGAUUAGAUACCCGCGUAGUC
rnacentral:rRNA from 1 species